rnacentral:tRNA from 1 species
GGGCUCUUGGCACAGGGGUAGCGCGCACGCUUCGCAUUUCGACAUGACGGUAUGAUCUGCGUGAGGUCGUGGGUUCAAUUCCCACAGUGUCCA